GGACUACAGGGGUUUCUAAUCCUGUUUGAUCCCCACGCUUUCGUGCCUCAGUGUCAAUGACCGUGUAGUGAGCUGCCUUCGCAAUUGGUGUUCUAUGUCAUAUCUAAGCAUUUCACCGCUACAUGACAUAUUCCGCUCACCUCCAAGGUAUUCAAGAGAGAUAGUAUCAAUGGCAGUUCCCAAGUUAAGCUCGGGGAUUUCACCGCUGACUUACCUCCCCACCUACGCACCCUUUAAACCCAGUGAAUCCGGAUAACGCUUGCACCCUCCGUAUUACCGCGGCUGCUGGCAC
rnacentral:rRNA from 1 species